AACGAACGCUGGCGGCAGGCUUAACACAUGCAAGCCGAACGCAUGCCUUCGGGCAUGAGUGGCAGACGGGUGAGUAACGCGUGGGAACCUACCCCUUGGUACGGGAUAGCUCCGGGAAACUGGAGAUAAUACCGUAUGUGUCCUGAGGGACAAAGAUUCAUCGCCAAGGGAUGGGCCCGCGUCGGAUUAGCUAGUUGGUGGGGUAACGGCCUACCAAGGCGACGAUCCGUAGCUGGUCUAAGAGGAUGAUCAGCCACAUUGGGACUGAGACACGGCCCAAACUCCUACGGGAGGCAGCAGUGGGGAAUAUUGGACAAUGGGCGCAAGCCUGAUCCAGCCAUGCCGCGUGAGUGAUGAAGGCCCUAGGGUUGUAAAGCUCUUUCACCGGUGACGAUAAUGACGGUAACCGGAGAAGAAGCCCCGGCUAACUUCGUG
rnacentral:rRNA from 1 species